GAGGCUGAUAGGCCGGGUGUGUAAGCGCAGCGAUGCGUUGAGCUAACCGGUACUAAUGAACCGUGAGGCUUAACCUUACAACGCCGAAG
rnacentral:rRNA from 1 species